rnacentral:rRNA from 1 species
GAUUGAGGGGGGCUGCUCCUAGUACGAGAGGACCGGAGUGGACGCAUCACUGGUGUUCGGGUUGUCAUGCCAAUGGCACUGCCCGGUAGCUAAAUGCGGAAGAGAUAAGUGCUGAAAGCAUCUAAGCACGAAACUUGCCCCGAGAUGAGUCUUCCCUGAGACUUAGAGUCUCCUGAAGGAACGUUGAAGACGACGACGUUGAUAGGCCGGGUGUGUAAGCGCAGCGAUGCGUUGAGCUAACCGGUACUAAUGAACCGUGAGGCUUAACCUUACAACGCCGAAG